rnacentral:rRNA from 1 species
CCCUUAGAUGUUCUGGGCUGCACGCGCGCUACACUGAUGCACUCAACGAGUUUACGAGCUUGUCUGAGAGGAUUGGCUAAUCUUUUUAAAAUGCAUCGUGAUGGGGAUAGAUUAUUGCAAUUAUUAAUCUUCAACGAGGAAUUCCUAGUAAGCGCGAGUCAUCAGCUCGUGCUGAUUACGUCCCUGCCCUUUGUACACACCGCCCGUCGCUCCUACCGAUUGAGUGCUCAGGUGAAUAAUUCGGACUGCAGCAGUGUUUGGAUCCCGAACGCUGCAGCGGAAAGUUUAGUGAACCUUAUCACUUAGAGGAAGGAGAAGUCGUAACA